CAUGCAAGUCUAAGUACAUGCCGCACUAAGGUGAAACCGCAAAAGGCUCAUUAAAUCAGUUAUGGUUCCUUGGAUCUUAAACAGUUACUUGGAUAACUGUGGUAAUUCUAGAGCUAAUACAUGCAAUCAAGUCCCGGCCAGAGAUGGGAGGGACGCUUUUAUUAGAUCAAAACCGAUCGGCGUCCGGCUCCGGCCGGCGCCGUCUCUUUUGGUGACUCUGGAUAACCUUAAGCCGAUCGCACGGUCACAGUACCGGCGACGCAUCUUUCAAAUGUCUGACUUAUCAACUGUCGAUGGUAGGCUCUGCGCCUACCAUGGUUAUAACGGGUAACGGGGAAUCAGGGUUCGAUUCCGGAGAGGGAGCCUGAGAAACGGCUACCACAUCCAAGGAAGGCAGCAGGCGCGCAAAUUACCCACUCCCGGCACGGGGAGGUAGUGACGAAAAAUAACGAUACGGGACUCAUCCGAGGCCCCGUAAUCGGAAUGAGUACACUUUAAAUACUUUAACGAGUACCAAUUGGAGGGCAAGUCUGGUGCCAGCAGCCGCGGUAAUUCCAGCUCCAAUAGCGUAUAUUAAAGUUGUUGCGGUUAAAAAGCUCGUAGUUGGAUCUGUGUGCCACGCUGUCGGUUCACCGCCUGCGGUGUUAACUGGCAUGUCUGUGGGACGUCCUGCCGGUGGCGGUACGGGCUGCCGGCGCUGCGUAGGGGUUCGCCCCCGAAGCACGCCGGCGUGUCCCGGUCCGCCGAUCCAAUCCCGCCGCGGUGCUCUUCACUGAGUGUCGAGGAGGGCCGGCACGUUUACUUUGAACAAAUUAGAGUGCUCAAAUCAGGUCG
rnacentral:rRNA from 1 species